AGUAGCGCUGAGCGCACAGCUGCCUGCAGAGCUGCACAGAUCAAGUGUACGAGCUGCUGCUCGGCUGACCUGCGCCCCGGGCUAAUUACUUUCAGUAGAUAUUGGAAUACUUUGAAAAGAACAUUAGAAGGGGAAAAAAAACGUUUCCAACGGAAAACGGUUUUCGGAUAGAAAAAAAAGUUUGGAUUGUAUAAUUAGCCUACUGGAGCGAGUUUUCGGACUUCAUGAUGAGCGCUGUUGUGGCCACUGAGGGCCUGUUCUUUUCCGCCUUACAGCCCAGCACCUCGGUCACCACAUAUGCGAUCCCGACCGAUGACCAUCUCAGGAGGGAUCAGCUGUCCAGAGCCAGACGCGUCCAGCAGCAGGUCCAGCAGCGCAUGGCGGAGAAAUCCUCAUCCUCAUCCCGACUCAACGCCUCCACAGAAUUUGACGGCCACACGUCCACUGUAAGAUACCAAACCAAAACUCCUGGAUUCAGUUCCAAGUCUGUGAUCUACAAUGGCAACAGAACAAUGGCAACGCCUCGACUGUCUCAGUAUGCAGGAGAAUUUUCCUCUCGCUCUGCAGUAGAAAUGGGCACUCGGCACAGAAUCAGCCAUGGCGUGCCUAUGCCCGCUGUAGUGGGCCGCCCGUACAUGUACCAUGAUGAUGCACAUCUGAAUGCCUCUUACAAUCAAAUGCAAACAUUGGAAUCAAGGGCGCUGAGUCGGACUGACCAGGAGGCGGCAGCAAUGGCCGGACUCACGUUACAACGGCAGCCAUCUCCUGUGGGGAACUGGGUGGCGUCCUAUGGCUACAGUUCUCCACCCAAUGUGGUGCAAAGACAGCGCACCCUCAGUGGGACCAUGGCACGAGAAGGUUACAAUACAGGAUGGAGGGAGGCAGAGUUGGCUAAUCAAUAUUCAUUUAAAGGCCCUUCCCACCGAACCAUCAGCCGCAUGAAUAAUCGUCAUGUGCAGCAGCAACAGCAGCAAAGGCUGAGCAGCAGCUCAAUGCAGUGGCAGCAGAUGUCCACUGGGGGCACCAGUAUGAUGGGUGCUGGGCAUUACCAGGGCGCCAUGAAGAGAGCGGGGUCUGUGCAUAGUAUGAAGAGUGUCGGUCGUGGUGUGGACAUUUAUGACGGAUUGGCCGAUGGAACCACAGAUGCUCUUGGCGGAAUCCAUAACCUGGACAUGACUACAGCGAUCAGUUACAUCUCUUCCACUGAUGUUGCCAUGCAGAUGUUGGGAGCAGCCUACAUACAGCAUCAGUGUUACCACAGCAAUGAAGCCAAAACCAUGGUGCGCAGUUUGAAGGGCAUCUCAGCAUUAGUACAGCUGUUUAGCAGCGAGAACCAAGAGGUUCAGCGCUAUGCAACAGGUGCUACACGCAACCUCAUCUAUGAGAAUAUGGACAACAAGACAGCGCUUAUCGAAGCCGGUGGCAUUAGCAAACUAAUUGGUGCUUUAAAAGAACCCGAUGAUGAGCUACGCAAAAAUAUCACAGGCAUUUUGUGGAACUUAUCUUCUAAAGACAGUCUAAAGGAGAAGCUGGCCAGAGAGGGUUUGUCUGAGCUGACGGAGAGAGUGCUAGUGCCUCUGUCUGGAGGAGGAGAUGCUGGUGUCAUUCAACAGAGUGCGUCUGAGGCCGAUAUUUUCUACAACACCACAGGCUGCCUCAGGAACCUGAGCUCGGUGAAUGAAAGAACCAGGCAGCAGAUGCGGGAAACUCGAGGGCUGGUUGACUCUCUGGUUGGAUACAUCGAAAACUCCCUACAGGAGGGAAAAGGAGAGGACAAGGGAGUUGAAAACUGUGUGUGUGUCCUGCGCAACCUGUCCUACCAGCUGUACUCUGAGAUCCCUGCUUCAGUUCAGAUGCGUUUGGAAGGACCCACUCGAGCACAGGACAUGCGACACAACGACCCCAUCGGCUGCUUCACACCACAGAGCAAGAAAGCAAAAGAUAGGAAUCAAGACCUGACCACCUUCUCUGAAAUGGCACGUGUCCCAAAAGGAGCAGAGUGGCUGUGGCACCCUAAGAUAGUCGCUCUAUACAACCGCAUCCUGCAGAGCUCUGAAACAAACACGGCCACACGUGAGGCAGCGGCAGGAGCCCUGCAGAACAUCACAGCGGGCGACAGAAGGUGGGCCUCUGUGUUGAGUCGUGUGGCGCUGGAGCAGGAGCGGAUGUUGCCAGUGAUUCUUGAUCUGUUGCGAAGCCCCACAGAUGCCGAGCUCCGUUCUCUCACGGGUCUGCUGAGGAACCUCUCCCGACACUGCAAAAACAAAGCUGACAUGGCUAAAUUAGUUAUCGCUUCCUAUCUUUAGCCACCAAAGUGGUGAAUAUUCUGGUGAACAAACUCCCCAGUGAUGGACAUCAGAAAGAACCGUCUAGUGACGUGGUGGUCAACGUCUGUGGGGUUCUCAACAACCUGGUUACAGGAAGCUCUCUAGCUGCGAGAGAUAUCACUUACUUUGAUGGACUACCCAAGCUUGUCAGCAUUAAGACAUCUCAUGACAACAGUCCCGGGAAGCUAAAAGCCGCCAGGGCCGCCUCCACCGUUCUGUCCAACAUGUUUCAGUACACCAAACUUCACAAAGAUUACAAACAGAAAGGCUUCACAAGACGGGAUUUCAUGGAUAUGACCAUCUAAUCAUUGUCCAUGACUCAGUGCUAAACUCAGUGGACAAGAUGGAAUUAGAUGUCCAUGGGAUUGUACACCAAAGUCACAAAGGGAAUGCGAACAGCCUGUUUCUCUCAAACACACACACAGACAUAUUAUGACCUGUAGUGGAGUGAGUGAACUCUGAAGUUUUCACUAGAUUAUACAUUUUAGUCAACAGCACCAUCCAGUAUUACAGCAUGCCGGAGAUAAAUGCUUACAGAGCACUACAGUAAGUCUAACAGACGAUGAUGAGAUGCACCCGAGGCCUAUUUGAGAGAGGGCAGCUUAUAGACAUGAAACAUUAACAGCCAUUAGUUCAACUAGCAACACUUUACUAUGAGUAAUUCAAAGACUAAAUCAUUUUCAUCAGACCUGCUUAUGUUACAUAGUUUUGAAAUGUAAGCAUGUCCAGCUUGACCAUUUUAUCCCAAAUAUGUAUUUUUAUUUUGCACACAGAAAUUCAGUUUAUAGGCUAUAAUCAUGAAGUCUAAAAAGAGAAACUGAAGUGAACUGUGAACUAAAAUGUUGUAGUUGUUUACAACUAAAGAAACCGAUAUUGUUGGUUUUGCAAUAAAUAUAUGUGCGAUUUUUGCUUUCCACGUAACACUGCUGCAGGCUUCUGUGGUUGUUACAGUUACAUUGGCCUUGGAUUUUAAAUGCAAAAGAGAUUCUAAAUAUAUUAUAUCUGAAAUAAACCUUUGAAGGCUUGCUCAGAAAGCACAAAUAUGACAAACCUAUUGCCUUUGAAAAUAAAAGAAAAUGCAUAUUUGAA